UUGAAUUGCUCAGGAGAUUGACCCUUUUCUUUCUGGUGACUGCCAAUAAGGAGAAGAGUGCCAUCAAUGUUUAUGCUAGUGAUAACAACCUUUGAUGGCCCAGCAGCAUGCAGAAUGUUGCAAGCUUCUUGCCCAUCUUUUUCAGAAGUGAUUCUGGACCCGGUCAACUGCUCUGCUUCAAACUGGUUAGGUGUCAGCAUUGAAGCAACAG
rnacentral:misc_RNA from 1 species